UGUGUUUAUCAGCGUCUUUAAAACGUCGAGUUCUACAGAAAAAUGUGUUUUGCUUUGUGCUCAUAGUCGUCGGUAAUGAUAACUGACCGAAAUUAGCCUUUUUUGAUGCAGAUUAACAAAGUUAUUGAACGCGGAAGUCCGAAUGUGCGAAUAUGAAACCAACUUUACCCAAGUGGUACGGGGCACAAAGAAAGAGAAACAGAACUUGUCACCAUCAUCAGUCCUUUAUUUCAUUCACUGGGGAACAUCACAACCUUCAGAUGUGUCUUAUCAGGAUAAAUGUAGCUGCAGGGAAAAUUAUUUGAAGGACUCGUCAGCCCGAUCCUACUCCAGAUUCACCAAGGAUCCAGCUGAAGCCCUGUUCACACUACAAGCGUCACGCAACGACAAAGCAACACGAUCCGAUUCAUUUCAAUGGAGAGCUGGCGAUUUCCGGCGACAGAGGCCGUUGGCGACCGGAUGGGGCGUGUCCAGCGACGCGACAAAGUUCAGAAUCAUUCAGCUUUCUGCAAAUGAAGAGCGAUAGCCAAUAGGAAAGAAGAUGGAAGAGCUCAUGCGAUCGUUCUCCUCUCAGCCGUAGAUAAACAUACACAAUGGAAAAAUAGGCUCUGCUUCUCAUUCAUAUUUGUUUCGGCAAGAAACCUGAUUCGCUGUGAAGGCAACCAGUAGUGAGAACGCCCGCUAGCAACCUCAUCACCAGCCCCUGUGACCGCAGCUUCAUUACUGGCCAUUUGGAGGAGGAUUGUCCUUUAUUUGCUACACUGCAUUGCCACUUCUGAGGCUCUUUAGAAGACUGCACUGAUGUCAAAGGUCAACCGGCAAGAAGCUGAGGGGGAACUCUCAAAAUUGGUACAAGAGACAGAGGACUGAGGGUGUUUAGAAUGCACAAAUGUCUGUCUGCAGUGUAAGCAGUACUGAAAAAUGUAUAGUUGCUGCUGCUUCUAACUGUCCCCAGUUUUUUUUUCUUGUGCAAAUGUUCAAAGCUUUCAGUAAACACUGGUUCAAAUACAGGUUCAAAAUGUGUGUUAACUUUAACAGUUACAUUAAUUUUAACAAUUAGGUAUUAGAAUAUAGCAUAAUAUGAUGGGUAGUUUCAAUAAAUUUGAAAUUUUAAGCAUAUUGUCUUGUUGGGCCCACCCUAACACCCAGAUAGGUUUUGCAUAUGAUCCCUAGUUGGGCCCCACCUAAAACCCAGUGAAAUCCUGCAUAAAACCCACAUGGAUAAGUUGCAUGGGGCCAACAUGGAACCCGUGGACAAACCCACUUACAACCCAUAAUUAGAUGGAUCCCAGAUGGGUAUUGCAUAUGAUCUCUUGUUGGGCCCCACUGAAAACCCAGGGAAAUCCUGCAUAAAACCCACAUGGGUAAGCUGCAUAGGGCCAACAUGGAACCCGUGGACAAACCCACUUACAACCCAUAUUUAGAUGGAACCCAGAUGGGUUUUGCAUAUAAUCCCUAGUUGGGCCAACAUGGAACCAGUGGACAAACCCACUUACAACCCAUAUUUCAGCCCAUGUAGUAACCUUGUAGUACCCACAUAAAAAAUAAAGCUGGGGCCAAGAUGGGUCUUGCGCAUGUUGCCCAGUUGGGGCCCACCUGUUGACAAGUACAAUCCCACAUGAAAUCCAUGUGGGCAAUUGGCAUUGCGCCAUUAUGGAACCCACAGACAAUCCCAUUUUGGGCCCACUUUUUCAGCCCAUGUAAAACCCACCUGGGCCCCACACACAAAUGUUGGCUGGGUGCUUGGGCCAUCAAUGUUAAAUAACAAAAUGCAGAGAAAAUCACCCACAGCUCUUAAUCUGAAUAAAGUUAUAGCUUUAAUAAGCAUUAAUUUAUCAAUACAUACAGUGAAAAUUAUGCAGUGUUAUUUUACAUUUUAUUUUUUUGUUUGUUUUACAUUUGAUUACUUUUAGAUUUGUUUUGUAGCUAUUACUUACCUGAACAUUAAUGUUAGUAGACCUUCAUGGAAAAAUGAAAGGACUGUUUAUUUCAUUUAAUUUGUAUAUUUGUUUUAUUGUAUUUGCCGGUUUGUUUUACUUUGUUUCUUUGUUCAUGUUCUUACUGUAUCUUAUGUAUAUAAAACACUAAAAAUGCCUGCACACUGGUGCAUUUACAAA